UGGGUUUCUUAAAUGUGUAUAUUUUAAUGUUAGGAGCAUUGUAAGAAAGGUGGAUGAACUUAGAGCCUCGAUUGACACCUGGAAGUAUGAUGUUGUGGCGAUCAGUGAAAUAUGGUUGCAGGAGGGCUGUGAUUGGAAACUAAAUAUUCCAGGAUUUCGUUGCUUCAGGUGUGAUAGAAUUGGAGGGGCAAGAGGUGGAGGUGUUGCAUUGCUUAUCAGGGAAGAUAUUACAUCAGUGCUUUGGCAGGAUAGAUUAGAGGGCUCGUUUAGGGAGGCUAUUUGGCUGGAACUGAGAAAUGGGAAAGGGGUAGCAACACUUAUAGGGGUGCAUUAUAGACCGCCAAAUGGGGAGCGAGAAUUGGAAGAGCAAAUAUGUAAGGAGAUUGCAGAUAUUAUUAGUAAGCACAAGGUAGUGAUUGUGGGAGAUUUCAAUUUUCCACACAUAGACUGGGAAACACAUUCUGUAAAUGGGCUGGAUGGGUUGGAGUUUGUAAAAUGUGUGCAGGAUAGUUUUUUGCAGCAAUACAUAGAAGUACCUACUAGAGAAGGGGCGGUGCUGGACCUCCUGUUAGGAAAUGAGACGGGUCAGGUAGCAGAGGUAUGCGUUGGGGAACAGUUCGGGACCAGUGAUCACAAUACCAUUAGUUUCAAUAUAAUUAUGGAGAGGGUCAGAACUGGACCUAGGGUAUUAGAUUUUUGAUUGGAGAAAAGCUAACUUUGAGGAGAUGCAAAAGGAUUUAUAAGGAGGAAAUUGGGACAGUUUGUUUUAUGGGAAAGAUGUGGAAGAGAAAUGGGGGACAUUUAAAGGUGAAAUUUUAAGAGGACAGAAUCUUUAUGUCCCUGUUCGGUUGAAAGGAAAUAGUAAAAAUUGGAAAGAGCCAUGGUUUUCAAGGGAAAUUGGACACUUGGUUUGGAAAAAGAGAGAGAUCGACAAUAAAUAUAGGCAGCAUGGAGUAAAUGAGGUGCUUGAGGAGUAUAAAGAAUGAUAAACAGGGUCUAAUUAGGAACAGUCAAAAUGGAUUUGUGCCAGGAAGGUCAUGUUUGACUAAUCUUCUUCAAUUUUUUGAAGAUGUUACUCGGGAAAUUGAUGAGGGUAAAGCAGUGGAUGCUGUAUAUAUGGACUUCAGUAAGGCCUUUGACAAGGUUCCUCACGGAAGUCUCCGAUAACAUUGUCUACACCCUGAUUACGUUCAUCGAAGCCUUGGAAAUCGAGGAAAGGAUUUUGCUCUAAGAAUACUUCUGGAUCAAGUGGAUACGAAACACUUACGACGUCCUCAACGAUUUGGCUCGAAUUUGUAUCCUAGCAGAUUGCACAUUGAUUCUAGCUUGGAGCUUUGAAGAAACAGCGCGGUACCUGGAAACCUACAAGAUGUACGAGAAUAAGCCAGCUGAUAUAUUGAAGGAGAAAGUGGAACAGGAUUACAUAUCAAAGGUAACAGACUGUUUAACUACAGUCAAAUCUGUUAACCGAACAGAUUGUAUAACUUUGAUUAGUACGUUUAAGGCUAGAAGUCUUCAAGCAACUUUUCAGGAACCUUUCCUUCGAAACUGAGCAUCAGAAUAAGCGAGAGGAAAAAUGAAGACAGAGGCUGCAUCUCUUCACCUCUCCCUCCCACCCUCCUCUCUCAAACUUUCCAAAACUCUCACACACUCAUUCCCUCCCUCCUUCCCUCUCUCCCUCCCUCUUUCCCCCUCCCUGUCGCCCCCCUAACUCCCACUCCCUCCCUCUCCCCCAUCCAUCUUCCUCUAUCCCUCCAUCUUUCUACCCCUCCUUCAUUCACUCUCUCUCCUUCUCUCCCUCUCACCCACUCAAGAGAGACAAUUGUACAUUAUAACUUUCGCUGUUUUAUUUACUGUUCUUCCAAAUAAAAUAAAAGCAUUUUUGAUA